AUGUACCGUGCGCUCACCCAUUCUGAGGUAUCAGUGAGUAACAACAAGAAAAUUUGGAAGUCCAAGAUUCUACUAAAAGUGAAAAUCUUCAUGUGGUAUCUUCAUAAGGGAGUUGUGUUAAUCAAAGACAACCUCGCACGACGCAACUGACCAGGGAGUAAGAAGUGUUGUUUUUGCACUCAUGACGAGACAAUCAAGCACCUCUUUUUUCAAUGCAAGUUUGCAUGUUCUACGUGGUCAAUCAUCCAAAUAGCGUCAAAUUUAUAUCCGCCCACAAGUGUUGCCAAUAUAUUUGGUCAUUGGUUGGACGGUAUUCUAAAUAGGUUUAAAGCGCUUAUAAGGGCGAGAGCAUAUGCCUUAAUUUGGUCGCUCUGA
rnacentral:rRNA from 1 species